rnacentral:rRNA from 1 species
UACGUAGGGUGCAAGCGUUGUCCGGAAUUAUUGGGCGUAAAGAGCUCGUAGGCGGUUUGUCGCGUCGGCCGUGAAAUCUCCACGCUUAACGUGGAGCGUGCGGUCGAUACGGGCAGACUUGAGUUCGGUAGGGGAGACUGGAAUUCCUGGUGUAGCGGUGAAAUGCGCAGAUAUCAGGAGGAACACCGGUGGCGAAGGCGGGUCUCUGGGCCGAUAUUGACGCUGAGGAGCGAAAGCGUGGGGAGCGAACAGG